rnacentral:rRNA from 1 species
UACGGAGGUCUCAAGCGUUGUUCGGAUUCAUUGGGCGUAAAGGGUGCGUAGGCGGCGCCGUAAGUCGGGUGUGAAAUUUCGGAGCUUAACUCCGAAACUGCAUUCGAUACUGCGAGGCUUGAGGACUGGAGAGGAGACUGGAAUUCAUGGUGUAGCAGUGAAAUGCGUAGAGAUCAUGAGGAAGACCAGUGGCGAAGGCGGGUCUCUGGACAGUUCCUGACGCUGAGGCACGAAGGUCAGGGGAGCAAACGGG